rnacentral:lncRNA from 1 species
UGGCGAUAAAAAUCUAGCUGAUACAAUUAAAAAUAAUUUGCUCUUACUGCCAACAGACACUAUUUUGUCAGAAUACAGCAUGAGUUGUCUAAAGAAGAAAAAAAAGUUUAAAGAGUUGGCAAGUCUAUGUAACUCUCUCACUGAAGCUGCUUUAAAGUCAAAUAAUAACUUAACCAAAAUGGAUGC